rnacentral:rRNA from 1 species
ACCCAGGGGAUACCUUAGUACGGCGAGUGAGCGGUAAAAGCUCAAAUUUGAAAUCUGGUACUUUCAGUGCCCGAGUUGUAAUUUGUAGAAUUUGUCUUUGAUUAGGUCCUUGUCUAUGUUCCUUGGAACAGGACGUCAUAGAGGGUGAGAAUCCCGUUUGGCGAGGAUACCUUUUCUCUGUAAGACUUUUUCGAAGAGUCGAGUUGUUUGGGAAUGCAGCUCAAAGUGGGUGGUAAAUUCCAUCUAAAGCUAAAUAUUGGCGAGAGACCGAUAGCGAACAAGUACAGUGAUGGAAAGAUGAAAAGAACUUUGAAAAGAGAGUGAAAAAGUACGUGAAAUUGUUGAAAGGGAAGGGCAUUUGAUCAGACAUGGUGUUUUUUGCAUGCACUCGCCUCUCGUGGGCUUGGGCCUCUCAAAAAUUUCACUGGGCCAACAUCAAUUCUGGCAGCAGGAUAAAUCAUUAAGAAUGUAGCUACUUCGGUAGUGUUAUAGCUUUUUGGAAUACUGUUAGCCGGGAUUGAGGACUGCGCUUCGGCAAGGAUGUUGGCAUAAUGGUUAAAUGCCGCCCGUCUUGAACCAACGGACCA